AUUGAACGCUGGCGGCAUGCCUUACACAUGCAAGUCGAACGGCAGCGCGGGGCAACCUGGCGGCGAGUGGCGAACGGGUGAGUAAUAUAUCGGAACAUACCCUAGAGUGGGGGAUAACGUAGCGAAAGUUACGCUAAUACCGCAUACGCACUAAGGUGGAAAGUGGGGGAUCUUCGGACCUCAUGCUCAUGGAGUGGCCGAUAUCUGAUUAGCUAGUUGGUGAGGUAAAGGCUCACCAAGGCGACGAUCAGUAGCUGGUUUGAGAGAACGACCAGCCACACUGGAACUGAGACACGGUCCAGACUCCUACGGGAGGCAGCAGUGGGGAAUUUUGGACAAUGGGGGGCAACCCUGAUCCAGCAAUGCCGCGUGAGUGAAGAAGGCCUUCGGGUUGUAAGACGUCUUUUGUUC
rnacentral:rRNA from 1 species